rnacentral:rRNA from 1 species
CAGCAGCCACGGUAAUACGUAGGUCCCGAGCGUUGUCCGGAUUUAUUGGGCGUAAAGCGAGCGCAGGCGGUUUGAUAAGUCUGAAGUUAAAGGCUGUGGCUCAACCAUAGUUCGCUUUGGAAACUGUCAAACUUGAGUGCAGAAGGGGAGAGUGGAAUUCCAUGUGUAGCGGUGAAAUGCGUAGAUAUAUGGAGGAACACCGAUGGCGAAAGCGGCUCUCUGGUCUGUAACUGACGCUGAGGCUCGAAAGCGUGGGGAGCGAACAGGAUUAGAUACCCCUGUAGUCCCUGUCUCUUAUACA